rnacentral:rRNA from 1 species
GUGCCAGCCGCCGCGGUAAUACAGAGGUGUCGAGCGUUGUUCGGAAUUACUGGGCGUAAAGCGCACGCAGGCGGUUUGUUAAGUCAGAUGUGAAAUCCCCGCGCUUAACGUGGGAACUGCAUUUGAAACUGGCAAGCUAGAGUCUUGUAGAGGGGGGUAGAAUUCCAGGUGUAGCGGUGAAAUGCGUAGAGAUCUGGAGGAAUACCGGUGGCGAAGGCGGCCCCCUGGACAAAGACUGACGCUCAGGUGCGAAAGCGUGGGGAGCAAACAGGAUUAGAUACCCUGGUAGUCCACGCUGUAAACGAUGUCGACUUGGAGGUUGUGCCCUUGAGGCGUGGCUUCCGGAGCUAACGCGUUAAGUCGACCGCCUGGGGAGUACGGCCGCAAGGUUAAAACUUAAAGGAAUUGGCGG